AUGGCUCAGAUUGAACGCUGGCGGCAGGCCUAACACAUGCAAGUCGAGCGGAUGACGAGAGCUUGCUCUCUGAUUCAGCGGCGGACGGGUGAGUAAUGCCUAGGAAUCUGCCUGGUAGUGGGGGACAACGUCUCGAAAGGGACGCUAAUACCGCAUACGUCCUACGGGAGAAAGCAGGGGACCUUCGGGCCUUGCGCUAUCAGAUGAGCCUAGGUCGGAUUAGCUAGUUGGUGAGGUAAUGGCUCACCAAGGCGACGAUCCGUAACUGGUCUGAGAGGAUGAUCAGUCACACUGGAACUGAGACACGGUCCAGACUCCUACGGGAGGCAGCAGUGGGGAAUAUUGGACAAUGGGCGAAAGCCUGAUCCAGCCAUGCCGCGUGUGUGAAGAAGGUCUUCGGAUUGUAAAGCACUUUAAGUUGGGAGGAAGGGUUGUAGAUUAAUACUCUGCAAUUUUGACGUUACCGACAGAAUAAGCACCGGCUAACUCUGUGCCAGCAGCCGCGGUAAUACAGAGGGUGCAAGCGUUAAUCGGAAUUACUGGGCGUAAAGCGCGCGUAGGUGGUUUGUUAAGUUGGAUGUGAAAGCCCCGGGCUCAACCUGGGAACUGCAUUCAAAACUGACAAGCUAGAGUAUGGUAGAGGGUGGUGGAAUUUCCUGUGUAGCGGUGAAAUGCGUAGAUAUAGGAAGGAACACCAGUGGCGAAGGCGACCACCUGGACUGAUACUGACCAC
rnacentral:rRNA from 1 species